rnacentral:lncRNA from 10 species
AGUGGACUUGAGGCUGUCGGGAAGGAGGGGUGUGGCCUAGACCACUAAGGGCCGUGACGUGGUGCCGCUGAGCUUGGACCCCGACCAGAAGAUAGAGAUUGAAACGAUGAGGAAAACGAAGUGCCUAAUCCCCGCUGGACGCUAACUGCAGGGCAAGCUCCCCAGUGUUGUAGUUGUGUUUCGGAGGCCGAGAACCGCUAUCGGGCUUCCUCGGACUCUGGCCCUGGAGGGGGGAAACGGCGAGGGAGAAGGCGAAACGAGUCUCCAGUGUGUUCUUGGGGCCUGGUGCGAGGCCCAGAGAAUUCUCUGCAGGCCUUUGCCCGGGCACUGAUUAAGGCUGCGAAGAGACGCACCGGGCUGCGGGCUUAGUAGCUUCAGGCUUCUGAAGUCAGAGGGAGGGCUGAGAGCUUACACUUCUGGAGCUCCCCGGGAGACGGCAACUACCCAACCGUGUGGCACCCAGAAAUACUCUCCACACCAUGCUGCACUGCUGCGGAUGAGGGAAGGAUGGUGUCGGGGCUUCAAGACUGUUUUUCCUACCUCUUCAGUGCCUCUUUCAGUGAUAUGAAGUUAAAACCAGGAACAUGGAGGAGACAUAUUUCCACCUAUUUCUCUCCAUAAGUAUAAAAGACCAUAAAAGACCAUCUAGGGACUUCAGAACCCAAAUAAUGACACAAUGUUAAUUUGCAGGUUCUCCCUCUGCCUGCCACCCCACCCAGCAAGGAGGAGAGGAAGUGUUGAGAAGGGAAGAGAUGAGUCCUGGCCCUGUCACUUCUUAGGGGUGUGCUUUUGAACAACCUGCUCACCAUGUAUGAACUUCACUCUUCUUGUUUAUAAAAUGAGGACAAUGACACCUGCAAGACUGUGAGGUUUAAAAACAAAAUCUGUGUUGAGAGGUAACUUGCCUCUUUUACUUACCAAUGAUUUCCUCAAUGCCUGGUGACUGGGGCUGGUUCAUACUAGACGAUCAAUAAAUGCUCCUUGAAUGAAUAGGUGGAUGAAAGAAAUGUCUGGCAUCUAUCACAGGUGCUGGCACUGAUAAGUGCUUGAUAAAUAGGCUGGCUGACUGUGAGUGAUGCUGACGGGCAAAGGACAGAGACACCAGGAAGGAGAACAGGACACGAAAGAUAACUGUCUCAGCCCUUGGGGAGUUUCUGACCCAGGAGGAUGGGAACAUCAAUUAUCAAUAGUUACAGAUCAUUAAAUAAUUGCAAGUGUGAGGCGCACUAUAAAGAGGAGGCUCAGAGUCCCCGCAUGCUCACACUCACACCUGGCCACAGACAGGUGACACCCCUGGCUUGCCCAGGCCAGCGGGUCUGCAAUGAGGCCAAGGACCUGGGCUCUUGAGAAGUUUUAAGUUUGAAAACAUUGCUUUUUAAGCUUAAAACAAUGAACCUUAAUAAAAGUAAACACUUCCAUUGAGCUUUGAAACACUUAAUAGGAGUUAAAAGUAAUUAGGCUAAUAAAAUAGUCUUUUGUUCCAAUUCAAUAAGUGCUUUCUUUUAUUAACUUCAUUGUCCUUUAAGAUUGGGAUUAAGGUUUGUCUGCAUUUGGAAAAGGUCACAUUUGCCCAAAGACUGAUGGGUGAUAACAGUAAGGCAGCCCCCUGCACAGGGAGAGGCCAGUAAGAGCCUGGGCUCCAUGAAACUGCAUUUCAACUCCAACCCUGAUGUCCUGCCUGUCUCCUGGGCAUGUUUAUCUUACACUGCUAAGCAUCAGUCUCAUUUGUACAGUGAGAAUAAUAUCACUGUGUAAGGUUGUAUUGAGAAUUAAGAGAGCUCACGUAUGCCUGUAAAGUACCUGGCAUACCGCAGGGUACAAGGAGGGCGUUGUUAGCUGUGAUGGCCCCUUUCCUUCUUCCCUUUACUUCAGAGGUGACCUCUCCAAAUCACAUUUAGUCCUUAAACCUCAGGUCAGGCGAUAGUGCUGAUGGGCAACCCUCCCACCCAGGUUUGGCUGCAAGUCACUCCUCUGGGCUCCUCUGGGCUCCUACAGCCUCCCGCAUGGUCCCUCUCAUGCAUCCUUGUGAUGGUCUGACCAGGAGCUUCUUGAGGACAGGGGUUGGGGCCACUUGCCUGCGUGCUUCUCCAUGCCCAUUUGCUAUCAGAUGCCUUCCCCUUUCUGCUCUGCACUGCGGGGAACUACAUUUUCCAGGCUCCCUGGGCAGUGGCAGGCUUCCGGCUAGUUUCUACCAAGGGGAGCGCUGAUGGGAGAUGAAAAAGUGGGAAAAAAGGAGAAGCCAGGAUGCUUCUCUGUCUCGUCUUCCUUUUUCUCUUUCAGGGGUUUUUGGUAGUGGCUGUGUCUCCCUGAUAGCUCCUCUCUAUGAUCCAGCCCUGCUUGGCAGCCCUGGCUUCUGGGUUCUGAAAACACCACGUUCCUCCUUGUGUCCCUCUAUCUAGUAAUUGGCAGCUUUCUGAUGUUGCUAAGUUCUGACUUGCUUCACCAUCUCCUAUUUGGCUCCUCAGCUUUUCCAUCUUCUGUGUAACCUGUUCCCCGUACUAAAUUUCCUCUGUGUGAAAUGCCUAGCAUGGUUUCUGUUUCCGUGGUGGGACUCAGACGGAUACAUUCUGUGUCCCUAAGCCUCUGACACAGCACCUGACCCAUGAUAGGAUCUCAGGAAGCUCUUUUUUGGCUGAGUACAUUUCCCAUUGUAAUAUUCCCCAAAGGUGGGAUUUUGUUCAUCUUUUUACAGGCUUUCCUCUGGCCCUCCCUUGCUUUCUGUAGCUUUAGCAGGCCAGAAGCAUGAGGAGCAAUUAAAGUGAGCACCAGCCCCAGAAAAGUAGUGAUCAAAUGUUUAAAGUUCUUGAAAAUUCUGUCUAGUUCAUUUCUAUUUCAUUUUCUUAAGCCCCAGAUUCUAAUUGUAUCUGUCUACACAACAAGUGUAAUCAGGGAGCCAAAAUUAAAUUUCCCCAAUCCCUGCCCUUCUAAUCAAUCACAAAUCACGAAUGAAAAGAGCAGAUUCAAGUGGAAGAAUCAGCUCCAGGAGGCCAGUCUUUCCAUUAGCUCUGUUAGGCUCUCCACAGAGGUGGGACCUAUCUCUCCCCACCCACUCCGCCCCAGCAGGGGAAAAUGCAAACAAGUCACUUUUGAUGACCACCUGUCUGCAGUGGUAUUGGUCUCAAAGGAGACCUAAAGUGAAUGCCAAUUUCAGAAAAAUAAAGUUUGGGGAUAUGGUUUGGAUGUUUGUCCCCACCACCCCCACCCCACCAAUUUCAUGUUGAAGUGUGAUUCCCAAUGUUGGAUGUAGGUUCUGGUGGGAGGUGAUUGGAUCAUGGUGAUGGAUUCAUUAUGAAUGGUUUAGUGCCAUCCCCUUGGUGAUAAUGAGUUCUCACUUGGUUAGUUUUUGUGAGAUCUGGUUGUUUAAAAGAGCCCAGAACCUCCACCUGACUGUUUCUUGCUCUCUUUCUUGCCAUGUGACAUCACUGGCUCCCCCUUUGCCUUGUGCAAUGAUUAUAACCUUCCUGAGGCCCUUAUUGGAGGUAGAUGCCAGAGCCAUACUCGUACAGCCUGCACAACUGUGAGUCAAUUAAACCUCUUUUCUUUAUAAAUUACCCAGUCCCAGGUACUUAUAGCAAUGCAAAAACUAUCUAACACUCCUGGUUUCAAAUGAUUGGGAAGAAAUGGGAUUAGAGGUCUCUGAAGAUGCCAGGGCUCUGGAGAUUGCUGGGGGAAGGAUAGCCCUGUCCCUGUCAGGGGCCGCCUCCUGUGUGGAGGGCCUUAGGGCUCUGGAGAGAGAACCCCUGUGUUCAAAUUCUGCCUCUGCUACUUACCAAAUAUGGGACUUUGAGUAUUUCACCUGGUCUGAAUGGGCACCUACAUCCUAGUCCUGGAAACAGCUCAAAUAGGGACAGAGGAGGUGCUUAACAAAGGAUUAAGCCUACAACCUGGAUCUAUUCCUUGCCUUGAAGACCAGUUGAGGGCCCAGGAUGAGCCUCCUGUGGGUGCACUAGCUCUGCUUUAAUUGCCUAGUUCUAAAAUGAAUCUUCCUUUGCAUUGGAGAAAAAAACAACAGAGGCUACAGAAAGCCCCUGGGGUCUGUCUCAGCUGCUAUUGCUCUGACUGUGGUCUGUGAACCCUGGGUAGGCAAGACAUAGCUCCCACCUGUUCCUCUUUUCAUCUCUUGCUGGUGAGGAGCAGGUGUUCUUUCCAAGCUUCUCCUAUCUCUCUCCCCUCUUCUUACUUGUUCCAGUCUUUCUCCCUCCUCUUCCCUCUCCUCUUCUUUCUUCUUCCUUUGCCUUAUCCUCUUCCCUGCUUUCCUCUCUCCCAUUCUUUCCCCCUCCUCUGCUCUUUUCUCCUCUCUCUUUCUCUCCUCUCCCUUCCUCUUCCCUCUGCCUUCCUCUUCACUUCCCUUUCCUCCUACCCUUUCCCCUCCUUUCCCAUCUUCUCUCCUCCUCUACCCCCUCAUCCCUUCCUCUUCACCUCUCCCCUCUGUUUCCCUUCCUCUCCCUGCAACAUUCUCUCCUCUCCUCCUUCCUCCUUUCUCUUCUUCCUCAUUCUCCCCUCCUGUCCCUUCUGUAGCUCCCCUUAUCCCUUGUGGCAUCAGCAUCUCCCAGCCUCAAAACUGGCAGUCACUGUUUCAUCAGCUCUGGCCCCAGCCAAAACCUCCCUCCCUUCUCAGCCAGCAGCAGCUGCUGGACUCUUGAAGGGGGUAACAAUUAGUCAUUGGAGGGUGGCAGUGGUUGAGGGAGACAGAGCGUGCCAGCCUUUGCAGUCAUUGCUCUGUCACCUCAUGUACAACAGGCUUAACUCAACACGUGAUCUUCCCUUUGGCACCCCCCUCUCCCUCUGCCACUGCUGAGCUGUGUUGUGUGUAUUUGUCCUCCCUCGUCCCCACACCCACAACCAUCUUUAUGCCCUCACCUCCUCUGUGAGCUUUAUGCAGCCCUGCCUAGUGUGGCAGCUCCUUAAAGCACCUCUCUUGUUCUUCCCUUCCUUCCUGUGACCACUCCCUAUCCCUAAUAUGGGUCCCUCACUGCUUCUCCCCUGAAAUACUUGAUCCUGGGUUCCUCUCCCCACCUUCAUCUGUCCUGUCAACAAUGACUGGAGUGCAUUCCUGGUUCAUGUCCUCCUAGGGAUGAAAAAGAGUGACAUCUUUCCUCCCCACCACACUCCUAGAACAAAAGAUAGGUUAACAAGAGAAAAGCAUAACACAUUUAUUUAAUCAAGCUUUUAUGUGAUAUGGGAGACUUCAAAAAUGAAGACCCCAAGACCCAGGGGAAACUGUUUUUAUGCUUAGGUUUGAUGAAGAGUGGACAGCCAUGUACUCUUUUUGUAUUGGACAAAAGGGGUAUAAUCCAGUAGUAAUAGACUGAAUGGGAAAACCCAGCAAGGCCUGUCUGUUCAGAUUCUUCUUGGCCUCUCUGUUGUAGCAUUUCUUCCUUCUGGGUAUGAUGCAGGACCCCUCUGCAAUGAGGGCCUUAGGAUCUAAUAUCAGAUAAGGGUAGGUCAGAGAAUUUCUUUUUGGCCACCUCCUAGACAGAAGGGGAUGGGGAGGUCAGAGUAGUAUUUCCAGGGUUCAUGGCUUACUUUGGGGGAGAGGGGUUCCAGUUUUUAUGACCCACCUAGGGUACAAGGAAUUAUGUUUCUAUGACUUGCUUUGAGGGAGAAAUGAGGGGUGAGAGAUAGGAAGCAGGAAGUCAAAGAGACCAUGGUUCUGAGGUUGCUUCUGAGGUCUUCCAAUGUCCUUUAGUUCAAAGUACUCAGCACACCAAAGUGCUAUACUUUGGGGUAUCAUUUUCUGAGCUGCAGAAUCCCAGAUACAUCACUCUCCUCAGAAGCUCUGGCUCUCCUGGUGCACUGACUGAGACCAAACAAGUGUUCAUGACCUACCCAAGCCUGAGAGAACAGCCCUCCAGAUCCUGGUCCUCCUGCCUUCCACCAUGGGCAAGAACCCCCACCCCACCUCUCCCCAACCCUCCUUGCCUUUUUCUGCUUCCCGCCUUUGCUUGUGCUGGUUCCUUCUCCACCUGUUCCCAUCACCCAUACCCUGUUCCCAUCACCCACUGCCAUUAUCCAGGGCCUAAACAUCUCCCCCAUUAUGAAGCUGCUCUAGAGAGGGUGACGUCGCUUCUCUUAUAGGACUCGUUGGACACAGUCAGGGGCCCUAAUACUGCAUCAGCAGAAAGAUGUGUGAGUGGUUCACAUGACCUUUGACCACUGACUUUACUCACCUAUGGAGGUGGACUUGGGCUUUUGCUUGAGAAUGUGGGUGUGCAUAUGUGGGAAAAUAUGUUUAAAAUGAUCAUGCUUUGGAUGAACGAGGCUGGGUUUACCAGUGUAUUUGCUAAGCACUUGCAGAGGACUCGACUGGGGAGCUUGAAAUAAUACAUAUUCCAGGGCCCUGUCCCUGACCUCAGAACCAGAUUAGAGGAGCAGGGGAGGUGGCAGUAAUCUGUGUUUUUAAUAAGUCCUUCUGUUUGAUCUUCACAUUUGGAAAUGACUACAGUAAGUGAUCUCAGUAUUAAAACUCUUAGAAAGCAAAGAGUUUUCAUGAAGGAAAUAAUCACCUCAUUAUAUAUGUAUUACAAUGGAUAAAUAUAUGGGAUUGGGGAGGAGAAUCUGUAUAUAGGGAGAGAAUUGACUGUUGUUUCAGGCACUGUACCACAGGGUCUUAUUCAUUCCUUACUACUUCCCAUGCAGCAGGUUCUAUAAUCCUUACUUUACAGAUGAGAAAGGGGAGGCUCAGAGAGGGGAAGUAACUGCUGCAUAGUCACACAGCUGGAGAGUGACAAGGUCCAUGUUCAAACCAAGGGCUGAUGCCAAAGUCCAAGCUUGAACCACACUGCAAUGCUGCCCAUUUGUGAGCCUGAAUUUUUUUUUUAACUUUCAAGGACAGGUUUUCUUUAACUUUCAAGAACAGGCCCCACUGGUUAAUGGCUAACCCCAAUGUCUCUCAUGAUACUCCCUGGAGGUAGGGUUCUGAGGUUCCAAGAGUGCUUCCCACUGGCCUGCCCUGUCCUCAGUAUAAGCCCUAGAUGGGUCUUAAAAUUUAAUCUUUUCUACUGUAUUCCCGACUAGGCUUGUUGGUGCUGGAGUGAAGCAUUCCUGCCAUGGUUUGGUUCUGAAACAGGCUGAGGGAACAGAAAUAUGAGAGAGGCAACUUGACUUAUCCCAUCCACAAGGCCCAUAGCAUGAUGGCUUGAUCAAAGGGCUUGAGCCAAGGCUGGCCCUGGGCCACAUGGCUGGAUUGCAGCCUUUCUAUCCAUCCCCCUAAUCCCAUUUAGGAUGUUCAGGAUCAAUGAAAAGAUCUGAUCAUUCAAAUCAUACCAAAGUGUGCUAACACCAUGUGCUACCCCUCUGGGGAUAAACCUGCUUUACAAAGAGAAUGCUUGCCUAAUGGUGGGACAGAAGGAUGAAGGACAUGCCUUUUACCUGUGGGACCCCAUGAAUUUAGGACCCCGUGAAUGAUCCAUCACAAAUCCGUCUGCAUUAACCACUCUGUCCUUCCAGGUGCACUAUUCCAUCUGCGUAUCCAGCAGCAAAAUACAAUUCUGCUCAGAAUAAUGAACCUAAUGUUCUGAAGGCACCAGAAGGUUGUGGAAGUAUUGACCUAUCUCUAGUUAGCAUCUGCUCACCAGGACCCCUGAGACUGUGGAGGGGGUAACUCAGCAGAAGGACCAGGGCUAACAGGGACUGAAUCCUUACCACAUACCAGGGCCCGUUCCAAACACUUUGCAUGUUUUAAAUUGCUUAAUCCUCACAAUGACCCAGUGGAGGAGAUGAUAGUUUUGUCUCUUCUUCAUAUUAUGAUAGAGGAAAAUGAGGACAGAGAGGCCAAAUGACAGGCCCAUGGUCAACCAGCUAAGAAGUGAAGGGGCAGGACUUGAAUUCAGGCCUCCUGGCCCCAGAGUUUGCAGCACCUGGCAUGUGGCAGUAGUUGAGAAGUUACACUGAGUCUGAGUAGACCUGUAGUUAGUGACCCCCUCCACAGCACAGGGCUGAUGGACAGUGGGCUGGCUUGGGCCAAGAGCAGCUGGCACUGCAGAUCUGUUGGAAUAGCUCUGCCCAGGCUGCCCAGGGCAAGUUGCAGACUGGGAGGCAUAUGUAUCCUAAAAUAGAACUUUUGAGAAAUAAUGUGCAUCCAAAGGAAUGAGUCUCAGACGAGGAUGUUCAAGAAUCAGUAGCAGAUGCUGUGCGGGCCACAGAAUGUUUCUAGGUAAAAUGCCCUCCUCCCCACCCCCCAUGUCCCCCACAACCAACAAACAAGCUAAGAAAAAAGAAACAAAAUAAAAUAAAUUGAAACAAAUUAAUAAACAUGCAAAAACCACACAGACAGUCAUCUCUUCUGUCUGUGGGUAAAACUGACAGCUCUAGAAAUAAACGGAGAUCCAUAUAAAGGGUUUCAAAAUAUGGGAGUAAUUUUUGUUUUUCCAUUUAAUGCUAGGUUUCAAAGGAGGGGAAUAUGUCUAUCACUGCUACAUAGGCAUUCUGUUUAAAACCCACCCAGAUGCCUUAAUGGGGCUCUGUCAAGAGUGGGAAGGUCCCCACAGCUGUUUCUCAAAGCCAGUAGACCACUCAGUGUGGGCAGUGGGGAGCUUGUGCUUGGCAGGCCUCCCACGUCGCCAUCAUUUCUUUUUGAACACUUGACGGCACACCUGGUCACCACAGGUCAGCUCCUGCAACGUCAGAAAGUGGGUGAGGGUCUAACAAGCCAGGCCUUUCUUCUGCCCAGCCCUCAGCCCCCUUGGUAUCUGGGGGUGGGAGGUUGGAAUAAAGAGGACACUUAGGUAUUCUGGGCAAAGUGCAUCUCACAGACCCAAUCAGCGGGCAUGCCCUGCAGGUAGCAGUAAUUUGAUUUUGACACUUGAAUUGAGCUUGAACAACUAUAAAAAUGAAAAAUGCAAAGAAAUGACCCUCUUGGGCAGGAUUUCUCCUACUCCCAUGAUUAAAGUAACAUGACCUAAUUUAUAAAAGGCAGCGAAGCCAUGAGGAAGGAAAGGACCUAGUGUAGAGAAGUGUUUGGAAGGUAGGGGCCUGAAAAGAUGCUGGCCAGUGAGCUGCCCCUCCACCCUGUGGGCUUUCUGGCCUCUGGUGAUUAGAACAUUGGCUGGUGGUGGCGCAGGUACCCGCAGGGUGUGAGGUGCAGAAGGGCUUUCCCAGGCUUGCCUGUGCAGCCGACAAGGUCCCGCUUUUCAUCCAGAUAGAGGGAGCCCAGGCCUUAUUUGACCCUCACUGAUCCUCGAAGGAGGAGGGAAAAACAUGAGUGUGGGAAGGACCACCACAAUCAUUGCAGUUGACUGUGAAUCCAUUGUCUAAGCCACAGAGAGCACUGGGGAUUGUAUUACAAUUAGAAAAAUCCACCAUCCAAACCAGUGCAGGUAGGGAAAGCCAUCAAUGCAAAACACGAUAAAUGCCUCCCAUAUAUCAUUAGCUGACAUUGCCUUCAAAAUAAAG